rnacentral:rRNA from 1 species
GACGAACGCUGGCGGCGUGCUUAACACAUGCAAGUCGAACGGACAGGCCCUGCUUUUGUGGGGUGCUCGAGUGGCGAACGGGUGAGUAACACGUGAGUAACCUGCCCUUGACUUUGGGAUAACUUCAGGAAACUGGGGCUAAUACCGGAUAGGAGCUCCUGCUGCAUGGUGGGGGUUGGAAAGUUUCGGCGGUUGGGGAUGGACUCGCGGCUUAUCAGCUUGUUGGUGGGGUAGUGGCUUACAAAGGCUUUGACGGGUAGCCGGCCUGAGAGGGUGACCGGCCACAUUGGGACUGAGAUACGGCCCAGACUCCUACGGGAGGCAGCAGUGGGGAAUAUUGCACAAUGGGCGGAAGCCUGAUGCAGCAACGCCGCGUGCGGGAUGACGGCCUUCGGGUUGUAAACCGCUUUCGCCUGUGACGAAGCGUGAGUGACGGUAAUGGGUAAAGAAGCACCGGCUAACUACGUG